UCAAGCAAUAAGGGCACAGGGCGGAUGCCUUGGCACUAAGAGCCGAUGAAAGACGUGAUAAGCUGCGAUAAGCUUCGGGGAGGAGCAAAUAUCCCGUGAUCCGGAGAUGUCUGAAUGGGGAAACCCACAUGAGCAAACCUCAUGUAUCCUACAGCCAAUACAUAACUGUAGGAAGGGAACCCGGGGAACUGAAACAUCUAAGUACCCGGAGGAAAAGAAAGAAAACUCGAUUCCGUAAGUAGCGGCGAGCGAACGCGGAGGAGCCUAAACCGGAAUGCGUGCAUUCCGGGGUUACGGACUGCAUUUAGGAUUCAGUGAUGUUAACAGAACGGUUUUGGGAAAGCCGGCCACAGAGGGUGAAAGCCCCGUACGUGAAAACAGAGCUGACUGAGCAGGAUCCAGAGUACCACGAGACACGUGGAACCUUGUGGGAAAUCAGGGGGACCACCCCCUAAGGCUAAAUACUACUUAGUGACCGAUAGCGCAUAGUACUGUGAAGGAAAGGUGAAAAGGACCCCGGGAGGGGAGUGAAAGAGAACCUGAAACCCUGUGUUUACAAGCUGUGGAAGUUCUUUAAAUGAACAACCGCGUACUUUUUGUAGAACGGUCCGGCGAGUUGCGGAUACUGGCAAGGUUAAGCACUUAAGGUGCGGAGCCGAAGGGAUACCAAGUCUUAACAGGGCGUUAAGUCAGUAUACGCAGACCCGAAACCGGGUGAUCUAUCCAUGUCCAGGUUGAAGUUGUCGUAAAAGACAAUGGAGGACCGAAGCCACAUCCGUUGAAAAGGGUGGGCAUGAGGUGUGGAUAGGGGAGAAAUUCCAAUCGAACCCGGAGAUAGCUGGUUCUCCUCGAAAUAGCUUUAGGGCUAGCCUCGAUACAGAUUUGCGGAGGUAGAGCACUGAAUUUCCUAGGGGGCGUCAAAGCCUACCGAAGAAUAUCAAACUCCGAAUGCCGCGUAAUCGAUUAUCGGGAGUCAGACUGCACGAGAUAAGUUGGGCGGUCAAAAGGGAAAGAGCCCAGACCUUCAGUUAAGGUCCCAAAGUGCGCGUUAAGUGGAAAAGGAUGUGGGAUUUCGAAGACAACCAGGAUGUUGGCUCAGAAGCAGCCAUCCAUUCAAAGAGUGCGUAAUAGCUCACUGGUCGAGAGGUCCUGCGCCGAAAAUGUCCGGGGCUGAAACGCGCCACCGAAACUAAGGAACCGAAAGGUUGGUAGAGGAGCAUUGCAUGCGGAACGAAGCAGUACCGAAAGGAGCUGUGGACUGCAUGGAAGAGAGAAUGCCGGAAUGAGUAGCGAGAUAGAGGUGGGAAUCCUCUAGGCCGAAUAUCCAAGGUUUCCAGAGUAAAGCUGAUCUGCUCUGGGUAAGUCGGGGCCUAAGGCGAGGACGAGAGUCGUAGCCGAUGGACAACAGGUGGAGAUUCCUGUACUGCGGUAUGACAGAACUGUGGGGACACGUAAGGAAAGCGGAAGCCGGGAAUGGAAAGCCCGGUGCAAGCGGGGUACCAGUCACUCUGGCAAAUCCGGGUGGCAAUGGGAAGCCGUGAUGCGGAGCGAAAUAAAGUAGUGAAGUCCGUGAGCCAUGCGUCAAGAAAAGCCGCUAUUGUUUAUACCGUACCCGUACCGUAAACCGACACAGGUGGAUGAGGAGAGAAUCCUAAGGCCGGCGGAAGAAGCAUUGUCAAGGAACUCGGCAAAAUGACCCCGUAACUUCGGGAGAAGGGGUGCCUGCGAGAGCAGGCCGCAGAGAAUAGGCUCAAGCAACUGUUUAGCAAAAACACAGGUCUAUGCGAAACCGAAAGGUGAAGUAUAUGGGCUGACGCCUGCCCGGUGCUGGAAGGUUAAGAGGAGAGGUUAGCGUAAGCGAAGCUUUGAAUUUAAGCCCCAGUAAACGGCGGCCGUAACUAUAACGGUCCUAAGGUAGCGAAAUUCCUUGUCGGGU
rnacentral:rRNA from 1 species